CCUGGCUCAGGAUGAACGCUGGCGGCGUGUCUAAGGCAUGCAAGCCGUUUGCUCCGGUUUACCGGAGCAAGGCAAACGGGAGAGUAACACAUUGGUAAUCUACCCUGAGGACGAGAAUAACCCGGAGAAAUCCGGAGUAAUACUCGAUAAUAGUGGGGGGGACAUAAGUCAUUCCUACUUAAAGCUUCGACGCCUCGGGAGGAGCCUAUGGCCUAUCAGCUUGUUGGUGAGGUAAAAGCUCACCAAGGCUAUGACGGGUAGCGGGUGUUAGAGCAUGACCCGUCUCACUGGGACUGAGAUACUGCCCAGACUCCUACGGGAGGCUGCAGUCGAGAAUCUUCCUCAAUGGCCGAAAGGCUGAAGGAGCGACGCCGCGUGCAUGAAGAAGCCCUUCGGGGUGUAAAAU
rnacentral:rRNA from 1 species